rnacentral:lncRNA from 1 species
CAACAUCUCCCUGCCAAUCAUCACAAUAUAAUUGCAACAUACUGCAGGACUUUCUUUUGCUUCAUAUGGACUAGAAAUGAAAGGUUUCAGUAACCGUGAUUAACAAAAUGAUGACUUGCAGGAGGCUAAAAAUAUGAGUAAUGGUACAUCUACAGAGCGAAUUGAUUAUGAACCAUAAACCCUGUCAGCAAAGCAAUCUCUCUCUCUCUCUCUCUCUCUCUCUCUCUCUCUCAGACAAACACACACACACAUAUUUUCUAGUAAGCGCGGAUACAAAGCACCACACCCAUCCUCUUCUUUCUUGCUCACCUUUGAAGCACUCAGGAGCUGGGCUUCGCAGUGGCGGCGGAUCUGGUAGAGGUGUCCAUAGGAAGGGAGAUUAGCAACAGCAAAAAUAAUAAGUAGGCUUCAAGAAGUGGGCCUACCUUCGAAGGAGCACGGUCGUGGCGGUUGGUGAAAUGCAUCAGACACGAGUAACAGGUCCGCUCUUUGGCGGAUCAGUCAUAGAGUCCACUUCUGUCUAGUACUUUAGAAAAAAACAUUUUCCCCACUAUCAGUAAGCAGAAAUAAUAUCUGUAACGUCAAGUCAUACUUCAGGAGAGUAAAAUAUCAAUGCGAGACUAAAACAGACAGCCAUGUCAAGUAUUAACGUGCUACAUUGAGUUGACUUAGUUCAUGUAUCAAGUAUAAUACUCAAAUAGCCAGAGGAUCACUGCAGUUCUCUUUUUACCAACACCUAAAUUAUUUGCAGGUAUGACAACUGAUUUAAAACUUCAAGUGGAUCAAGCAACAACGCCACAAUGGUUCUGAAAUUAUUAGGCACUGAAGUAUGUUCAUCCAAAAUUUAAAUACCAGGGACAUAGUUAUGCUAAUCCACCAUCCAACGACUACGUCACAACCCAAAACAAAUGACCUAUAGCAUGCCUCAAAUUACCUUUAUAUUGGGAUCCAACACGCACCAAAUACAUACAGAGAAAGGGGAGAUGGGCGAUAGAGGUGGAGAGCACCUUGGCUGCAGAGGAGAGGAACAUCAGCAGCAACAAACAACUUAUGCCGUGGAAGUAGACGAACUUCCCCGUGCU